GGCCCCUACGGGAGGCAGCAGUGGGGGAUAUUGCACAAUGGGGGAAACCCUGAUGCAGCGACGCCGCGUGUGGGAAGACGGUCCUCUGGAUUGUAAACCACUGUCCCCAGGGACGAAGAUGACGGUACCUGGGGAGGAAGCUCCGGCUAACUACGUGCCAGCAGCCGCGGUAAUACGUAGGUGGCGAGCGUUGUCCGGAUUUACUGGGCGUAAAGGGAGCGUAGGCGGACUUUUAAGUGAGAUGUGAAAUACUCGGGCUCAACUUGAGUGCUGCAUUUCAAACUGGAAGUCUAGAGUGCAGGAGA
rnacentral:rRNA from 1 species